rnacentral:rRNA from 1 species
GCAACUCGCCUGCAUGAAGCUGGAAUUGCUAGUAAUCGCGGAUCAGCAAGCCGCGGUGAAUACGUUCCCGGGCCUUGUACACACCGCCCGUCACACCAUGAGAGUCGGGAACACCCGAAGUCCGUAGUCUAACCGCAAGGGGGGCGCGGCCGAAGGUGGGUCCGGUAAUUGGGGUGAAGUCGUAACAAGGUAGC